ensembl:misc_RNA Metazoa_SRP Metazoan signal recognition particle RNA
GCUGGGCAUGGUGGCGCGUGCCUGUAAUCCCAGCUACUCAGGAGGCUGAGGCAGGAGAAUUGCCUGAACCCGGGAGGUAGAGGUUGCAGUGAGCCAAGAUCACGCCACUGCACUCCAGCCUGGGUGACAGAGUAAGACUUUGUCUCAA